rnacentral:rRNA from 1 species
GAUUGAACGCUGGCGGCAGGCCUAACACAUGCAAGUCGAGCGGUAGCACAGAGAGCUUGCUCUCGGGUGACGAGCGGCGGACGGGUGAGUAAUGUCUGGGAAACUGCCUGAUGGAGGGGGAUAACUACUGGAAACGGUAGCUAAUACCGCAUAAUGUCGCAAGACCAAAGUGGGGGACCUUCGGGCCUCAUGCCAUCAGAUGUGCCCAGAUGGGAUUAGCUAGUAGGUGGGGUAACGGCUCACCUAGGCGACGAUCCCUAGCUGGUCUGAGAGGAUGACCAGCCACACUGGAACUGAGACACGGUCCAGACUCCUACGGGAGGCAGCAGUGGGGAAUAUUGCACAAUGGGCGCAAGCCUGAUGCAGCCAUGCCGCGUGUGUGAAGAAGGCCUUCGGGUUGUAAAGCACUUUCAGCGGGGAGGAAGGCGUUAAGGUUAAUAACCUUGGCGAUUGACGUUACCCGCAGAAGAAGCACCGGCUAACUCCGUGCCAGCAGCCGCGGUAAUACGGAGGGUGCAAGCGUUAAUCGGAAUUACUGGGCGUAAAGCGCACGCAGGCGGUCUGUCAAGUCGGAUGUGAAAUCCCCGGGCUCAACCUGGGAACUGCAUUCGAAACUGGCAGGCUAGAGUCUUGUAGAGGGGGGUAGAAUUCCAGGUGUAGCGGUGAAAUGCGUAGAGAUCUGGAGGAAUACCGGUGGCGAAGGCGGCCCCCUGGACAAAGACUGACGCUCAGGUGCGAAAGCGUGGGGAGCAAACAGGAUUAGAUACCCUGGUAGUCCACGCCGUAAACGAUGUCGAUUUGGAGGUUGUGCCCUUGAGGCGUGGCUUCCGGAGCUAACGCGUUAAAUCGACCGCCUGGGGAGUACGGCCGCAAGGUUAAAACUCAAAUGAAUUGACGGGGGCCCGCACAAGCGGUGGAGCAUGUGGUUUAAUUCGAUGCAACGCGAAGAACCUUACCUGGUCUUGACAUCCACAGAACUUUCCAGAGAUGGAUUGGUGCCUUCGGGAACUGUGAGACAGGUGCUGCAUGGCUGUCGUCAGCUCGUGUUGUGAAAUGUUGGGUUAAGUCCCGCAACGAGCGCAACCCUUAUCCUUUGUUGCCAGCGGUUCGGCCGGGAACUCAAAGGAGACUGCCAGUGAUAAACUGGAGGAAGGUGGGGAUGACGUCAAGUCAUCAUGGCCCUUACGACCAGGGCUACACACGUGCUACAAUGGCAUAUACAAAGAGAAGCGACCUCGCGAGAGCAAGCGGACCUCAUAAAGUAUGUCGUAGUCCGGAUUGGAGUCUGCAACUCGACUCCAUGAAGUCGGAAUCGCUAGUAAUCGUAGAUCAGAAUGCUACGGUGAAUACGUUCCCGGGCCUUGUACACACCGCCCGUCACACCAUGGGAGUGGGUUGCAAAAGAAGUAGGUAGCUUAACCUUCGGGAGNGGCGCUUACCACUUUGUGAUUCAUGANUGGGGUGAAGUCGUAACAAGG